rnacentral:rRNA from 1 species
UGGGGAAUUUUGGACAAUGGGGGCAACCCUGAUCCAGCCAUGCCGCGUGAGUGAAGAAGGCCUUCGGGUUGUAAGGCUCUUUCGGCGGGGACGAAACGGUCCGUGACAACACCACGGACUAAUGACAGUACUCGCAGAAGAAGCACCGGCUAACUACGUGCCAGCAGCCGCGGUAAUACGUAGGGUGCAGGCGUUAAUCGGAAUUACUGGGCGUAAAGCGUGCGCAGGCGGCUCCUUAAGUCAGAUGUGAAAUCCCCGGGCUUAACCUGGGAACUGCGUUUGAAACUGAGGGGCUAGAGUGUGGAAGAGGGGGGUGGAAUUCCAGGUGUAGCAGUGAAAUGCGUAGAGAUCUGGAGGAACACCGAUGGCGAAGGCAGCCCCUGGGCUAACACUGACGCUCAUGCACGAAAGCGUGGGGAGCAAACAGGAUUAGAUACCCCGGUAGUCCCUGAGCGGGCUGGCAAGGCGCAU